rnacentral:rRNA from 1 species
UACAGAGGGGGCAAGCGUUGUUCGGAAUUACUGGGCGUAAAGGGCGAGUAGGCGGCCGCCUAAGUCAGACGUGAAAUCCCUCGGCUCAACCGGGGAACUGCGUCUGAUACUGGGUGGCUUGAAUCCGGGAGAGGGAUGCGGAAUUCCAGGUGUAGCGGUGAAAUGCGUAGAUAUCAGGAGGAACACCGGUGGCGAAGGCGGUUCUCUGGGCCUUACCUGACGCUGAGGAGCGAAAGCGUGGGGAGCAAACAGG